AGGAGUCUCCGGACGUAAGUCUGCAACGCACGCAGCUUUUCAUCGAUUAAAAACACAAACCCGGAGCCAACAGUAGCGUUAAGAUAACUUUUUAAUUUUUAAUAUGUGGAAUGUGAGGAAUUAUAACCCGAUCCAGAUAGUUUUGUGCUGGUGGGAACCCCCCCUCUGUAGUGGUACGGUCCAAGUGCAAGACAGAUGGACUCACACUUGACUCUAAAAUCCUGCAGGGCUCCACUCAGAGACUGCAAGCAGCCCAAACCAUCAUCCCUCCACCACUGUGCUGACAGCUGGGAGGAGCUGAUCUGAUCAUGCUCAUCUUGUCAUGAGGGGUUUGCUACAGUGGCAGAGCAGGGCCCAUCCAAACAAUGCAUCCAGCCAA